AGUGAACGCUGGCGGUAGGCCUAACACAUGCCAGUCGAACGGCAGCACAGUAAGAGCUUGCUCUUACGGGUGGCGAGUGGCGGACGGGUGAGGAAUACAUCGGAAUCUACUUUUUCGUGGGGGAUAACGUAGGGAAACUUACGCUAAUACUGCAUACGACCUACGGGUGAAAGCAGGGGAUCUUCGGACCUUGCGCGAUUGAAUGAGCCGAUGUCGGAUUAGCUAGUUGGCGGGGUAAAGGCCCACCAAGGCGACGAUCCGUAGCUGGUCUGAGAGGAUGAUCAGCCACACUGGAACUGAGACACGGUCCAGACUCCUACGGGAGGCAGCAGUGGGGAAUAUUGGACAAUGGGCGCAAGCCUGAUCCAGCCAUACCGCGUGGGUGAAGAAGGCCUUCGGGUUGUAAAGCCCUUUUGUUGGGAAAGAAAAGCAGCAGGUUAAUACCCCGCUGUUCUGACGGUACCCAAAGAAUAAGCACCGGCUAACUUCGUG
rnacentral:rRNA from 1 species